rnacentral:rRNA from 1 species
GGCAGCACGGACUUCGGUCUGGUGGCGAGUGGCGAACGGGUGAGUAAUAUAUCGGAACGUGCCCAGUCGUGGGGGAUAACGUAGUGAAAAUUACGCUAAUACCGCAUACGAUCUAAGGAUGAAAGCGGGGGAUCGCAAGACCUCGCGCGAUUGGAGCGGCCGAUAUCAGAUUAGGUAGUUGGUGAGGUAAAGGCUCACCAAGCCAACGAUCUGUAGCUGGUCUGAGAGGACGACCAGCCACACUGGAACUGAGACACGGUCCAGACUCCUACGGGAGGCAGCAGUGGGGAAUUUUGGACAAUGGACGCAAGUCUGAUCCAGCCAUUCCGCGUGCAGGACGAAGGCCUUCGGGUUGUAAACUGCUUUUGUACAGAACGAAAAGGUCUCUAUUAAUACUAGGGGCUCAUGACGGUACUGUAAGAAUAAGCACCGGCUAACUACGUGCCAGCAGCCGCGGUAAUACGUAGGGUGCAAGCGUUAAUCGGAAUUACUGGGCGUAAAGCGUGCGCAGGCGGUUAUAUAAGACAGAUGUGAAAUCCCCGGGCUCAACCUGGGAACUGCAUUUGUGACUGUAUAGCUGGAGUGCGGCAGAGGGGGAUGGAAUUCCCCGUGUAGCAGUGAAAUGCGUAGAUAUGCGGAGGAACACCGAUGGCGAAGGCAAUCCCCUGGGCCUGCACUGACGCUCAUGCACGAAAGCGUGGGGAGCAAACAGGAUUACAUACCCUGGUAGUCCACGCCCUAAACGAUGUCAACUGGUUGUUGGGUCUUC